rnacentral:lncRNA from 1 species
ACCAUAGCUUUUUCUACCUUAAUCUUCUUCUGAACCAGAAGAUCUGGCUUAGGAAGAUCAGCUUGAGUUUCAGCCUUUCUCUUUGGUUUCCUCUUAGGGUUAUACAGAUUUACAGGAGCAGGAGGAACCAUACUCCUAUCAACAACAAAACCUUCUUGUCUGAGCACUUCCAAGUAAUCCUGAAUUACAUGCUCAGCAUCAGCUUCAGAUAUAACUGGGUAGCCUUGGACAUACAGACGAUCCUCAAGCCUAACAGUGAAUUCUUGUGGGGGAGCAACAGGCUUAGAUGCAAUCAAACGCAUCUUGGACAGGAAGUUAGCGUUCAGAAUUUCUGGAUAGAACCUCUUCUCAACCAAUUCAGGGUGAAAUUUCCUCAAGUUCUGAACAACAUGACCUUGAUGCAGAAGGUCUGACAACAGCCUAGGAUAAACUAUGGUAGUUUUCCUCUGAGAUUUACUUGCAAAAAUAGCUUCACAAAUCCGUUCAAAGAAGUAAUCUCCCAGAUUUACCUUCUUUCCUGUCAGAAGGAAAUACAGCAGAUGACGAUGAGUCCAGGAGAUAGUAUCAG